GUUCCGGGUUGUACGAUCCGAGACAGAUUUGGGGCAGAAAAUAGGAGAAAUUUUGACCCGCCCCGAAUCCGUCUCGAAAAUUAUUUAUAUUUUUAAAAAAUAUUUUUUAAAAAAUAAUGUAUUUAUAAAAAAAUUCAAAAUACAAAUAAGUUUGCAAUCUCAUUUCUAAUUUAUUUAAAAUUUUUGAAUUUUGUUUUGAAUUAUGAUUGAUAUUUUUUAUUUUUAUAAUUGAUAUUAUUAAAUUAUAUAUAUAAUAUUAUUAAAAAUUAUUAAUUUAUAAUUUAUAAAAUAUUAAUAAUAUUAUAAUUUUAUAAAAUAUAUUAGUUGGCGCGGCGAAUUCGGGACGCCGGCGGGAGGCGGGUUACGAGGCGGGGCGGAUUAUGGGAUGUACUUUUCAACCCGUUACGAAUUCGGGGCGGGAGGCGGAGCAAAAUUUUGCUAGUCGG
rnacentral:lncRNA from 1 species